GUUUGAUCUCCGGCUCGCUAGAUUGAUUUCGUGAUUCACUGCGAGCUUACCUCUCGGAGAGCCGGCGCGCCCUUUAUUGGCGAGCGUCGGGGAACCAGGACUUUUACCUUGAGAAAAUUAGAGUGUUCAAAGCAGGCCUAUGCCCGAAUACAUUAGCAUGGAAUAAUAAAAUAGGACGUGCGGUUCUAUUUUGUUGGUUUCUAGAGUCGCCGUAAUGAUUAAUAGGGAUAGUUGGGACUUA
rnacentral:rRNA from 1 species